CCUACGGGUGGCAGCAGUGGGGAAUAUUGCACAAUGGGGGGAACCCUGAUGCAGCGACGCCGCGUGAGUGAAGAAGUAUUUCGGUAUGUAAAGCUCUAUCAGCAGGGAAGAAGAUGACGGUACCUGACUAAGAAGCCCCGGCUAACUACGUGCCAGCAGCCGCGGUAAUACAUAGGGGGCAAGCGUUAUCCGGAUUUACUGGGUGUAAAGGGAGCGUAGACGGCAGGGCAAGUCUGGAGUGAAAGCCCGGGGCUCAACCCCGGGACUGCUUUGGAAACUGCCAUGCUGGAGUGCUGGAGAGGUAAGCGGAAUUCGUGGUGUAGCGGUGAAAUGCGUAGAUAUUAGGAGGAACACCAGUGGCGAAGGCGGCUUACUGGACAGUAACUGACGUUGAGGCUCGAAAGCGUGGGGAGCAAACAGGAUUAGAUACCCUAGUAGUC
rnacentral:rRNA from 1 species